CCUACGGGCGGCUGCAGUGGGGAAUAUUGGACAAUGGGGGCAACCCUGAUCCAGCCAUGCCGCGUGUGUGAAGAAGGCCCUCGGGUUGUAAAGCACUUUCAGUGAGGAAGAACGCCUGGUGGUUAAUACCCAUCAGGAAAGACAUCACUCACAGAAGAAGCACCGGCUAACUCCGUGCCAGCAGCCGCGGUAAUACGGAGGGUGCGAGCGUUAAUCGGAAUUACUGGGCGUAAAGCGCGCGUAGGUGGCUUGAUAAGCCGGUUGUGAAAGCCCCGGGCUCAACCUGGGAACGGCAUCCGGAACUGUCAAGCUAGAGUGCAGGAGAGGAAGGUAGAAUUCCCGGUGUAGCGGUGAAAUGCGUAGAGAUCGGGAGGAAUACCAGUGGCGAAGGCGGCCUUCUGGACUGACACUGACAUUGAGGUGCGAAAGCGUGGGUAGCAAACAGGAUUAGAUACCCCAGUAGUC
rnacentral:rRNA from 1 species